rnacentral:rRNA from 1 species
UACAGAGGUCUCAAGCGUUGUUCGGAUUCAUUGGGCGUAAAGGGUGUGUAGGUGGCGCGCUAAGUCGGGGUGUGAAAUUUCGGAGCUUAACUCCGAAACUGCAUUCGAUACUGGCGUGCUUGAGGACUGGAGAGGAGACUGGAAUUCAUGGUGUAGCAGUGAAAUGCGUAGAGAUCAUGAGGAAGACCAGUGGCGAAGGCGGCCAACUGGACGAGUACUGACGCUGAGACACGAAAGCGUGGGGAGCAAACAGG